CCGGCUGGGCGGCCGCGCGCGGAAACGCUCGAGGAACGUCCGGGCUCCACAGGGCAGGGUGAUGGCUAACAGCCACCCGGGGUAACCCGCGGGACAGUGCCACAGAAAACAAACCACCGGCGCUCAUGCGGCGGUAAGGGUGAAAAGGUGAGGUAAGAGCUCACCAGCGGCGCGGGUGACCGCGUCGGCUAGGUAAACCCCACCCGGAGCAAGACCGAGCAGCAGGCAGGGCGGCCCGUCCAAUGCCUGCGGGUAGGUUGCUGGAGGCCGUCGGUAACGACGGUCCUAGAUAGAUGGUCGCCACCGCACGUCCGGCAACGGCGUGCGUGACAGAACCCGGCGUAUAGGCCGAC
rnacentral:RNase_P_RNA from 1 species